rnacentral:tRNA from 1 species
UCCCUGGUAGUCCAUUGGUAAGACUCCACGCUUCCAAUGUAGGAGGCCUGGGUUUGAUCCCUGGUUGGGGAA